UACGUAGGGGGCAAGCGUUAUCCGGAUUCACUGGGUGUAAAGGGAGCGUAGACGGCGACGCAAGUCUGGAGUGAAAAUCCAGCGCUUAACGUUGGAAGUGCUUUGGAAACUGCCGGGCUAGAGUGCAGGAGGGGCAGGCGGAAUUCCUAGUGUAGCGGUGAAAUGCGUAGAUAUUAGGAGGAACACCAGUGGCGAAGGCGGCCUGCUGGACUGCAACUGACGUUGAGGCUCGAAGGCGUGGGGAGCAAACAGG
rnacentral:rRNA from 1 species